AUGAACCAAACCAACCACCUCUUUUCCCACAGCGGCCCCACCCCUCUCCCCCUCCAGUCAGUCUCCGUCCUUCCAGAAGGCCGCCGGAGUAGACGUGCUCCGGCCACUCCACCCUUCAGAUCCCGCCGCCGCGCUCCGGCCCCCAUUGCCGCGCGGUUGCACUGGACUUGCUUUUAUCAUAUGACCGGCAACAUGUUUCCUCAGUGAUAUCCAGGCAUGAUUUGGGUAUUGUUCAUAAUGCAGUUGGCUUCACAUGGCACCCGAGAUGACGAAGGAACACAGCUGGUGCCCCUUUGUGACCGGGAAACAGCAUCAGAUUCGCAGGAGAUAUUUUCACAAUCUGACACCGCAGGAAGCUCCACUGAGUAUCUGGCCUCAUGUGAAAUCAAGCCAUUGAUUGUUGAGGAUGAAAAUCACAAUAUCGAUGCGAAUGAAGAUACCCAUCUUGUCAUUCAAGACUUUCCACAAUGCCGGAUUUGCCUUGAUAAUGAAGGUGAUGACUUGAUUGCGCCAUGCAAUUGCAAGGGCACACAAAAGUAUGUCCAUAGGUCCUGUCUUGAUAACUGGAGAUCAACAAAGGAAGGUUUUGCUUUUUCACAUUGCACUGAGUGUCGGGCAGCAUUCUUACUUCGUGCAAAUGUUCCUCCAGAUCGAUGGUGGUUAAGGCUCAAGUUUCAACUUCUGGUUGCUAGAGAUCACACAUUGAUCUUUUUCAUUGUACAACUGGUUGUUGUUUUAUUGGGUAUGCUGGUAUACAGAUUUUAUGGAGAUGAGCUGCGAGAAAUGUUUGGCUAUGAACAGCAUCCUUACGCUUUUUAUGCAUUGGCAAUACUGGCUGUCAUUUUGGUUGGUUUGCUAUAUGGAUUCUUCAUAGCUAUAAUAUGUGGACAGAGGAUCACCGAACGGCACUACCAUGUUCUUGCAAAGCAAGAGUUAACCAAGGAGUAUAUAGUAGAGGAUCUUGAAGGAGCUGAUCCAGUGGCAGACCUUGAUCCUAGCCAUGUCACGGAGCUGAGGACGCUGGGGCUCUAUUGAGCAUAGCCGCAUAUAGCAUCAGGUUGGCAGUUUAAGUUGCUGUUGAUUUACAGCAUUCUCUUAGUCGUUAUGGGCGCACUCUCUACUCGUCCAGAAAUCACUCUUCGCAGCUUGUAGAAGCACUAGUAAGCGUGCACGUGCAACGGACCGAACAACCUUCUUGCUAGCUAAAUGGAAUAAAGGUCUCCCCGCCUAGUCCCCGUUCCGGCGGCGCGUCUAGCACCGUUGGUGGGCGUGUGGAGGUGUGUCUUCGGUGGAUCUAUCUUUGGUUGAUUUGCUCGGAUCUCGUCGUUGUUCGUCUACGUCCGCGUGUCUUCGGAUUAGAUCUUUCUGAUCUACGUUAUUCUUCAUCUGCGGCGGUUGCUGUUUUGGUGCGCUGGUCCUACCGGGCCUUAGCACGACGACUUCCUGACUGUCUAUUACAACAAGUUGUGCCCGACUCCGGCGAUAGAGGGGCGAUGACGGCGGUGCGCCAUCGGCUCGCUUUAGUGCUGGUAGUCGUCGCUAGGUGGUCUAUGGAUCUGGAUGUAAUUUUUAUUAUUUCUGGUAUUCGUUGUACUGCCAUGAUUGAAGAUGAAUAGAUCAGAAAUUUUCUCGCAAAAAAAAAGCUAAAUGUGU